rfam:Chelonia mydas contig215290, whole genome shotgun sequence.
CCAAAGGCUCUUUUAAGAGCCAUCCACUUUAUCAUCCAAAGAGCU